AUGGCUCAAGAUAACACUAAAUUGUGUGACUUCAACAAUACCAACAACAAUGAUUUUAUUAGCACUCCGAUUGCUCCUCUUAUCGAUGCUGAAUCUUGUGAAAUUAAUACUGCUUUGCUGAAUCUUGUCGUGAAAGAUCCGUUUUCCGGCCUUCCUAGUGAAGAUGCCGCUACCCAUCUAAAUAGCUUUAUUGAUUUGUGUGAUAUGCAAAAGAAGAAAGAUGUGGAUAAUGAUAUUGUUAAAUUGAAGCUAUUUCCUUUUCCGCUUAGAGAUCGUGCUAAACCUUGGUUUUCGUCUUUGCCUAAAAAUAGUAUUGAUUCAUGGAACAAAUGCAAACAUGCUUUUAUCUCUAAGUAUUUUCCUCCCGCUAAGAUCAUCUCUCUUAGAAACGAUAUUAUUAAUUUUAAGCAACUUGAUCAUGAACAUGUUGCACAAGCUUGGGAGAGAAUGAAACUAAUGAUACGUAAUUGCCCUACUCAUGGUUUAAAUUUGUGGAUGAUUAUACAAAAUUUUUAUGCCAGAUUGAAUUUUUCUUCUAGAAAUCUUUUAGAUUCGGCCGCGGGAGGCACCUUUAUGGAAAUCACUUUAGGAGAAGCUACUAAACUCUUAGAUAAUAUUAUGGUUAAUUAUUCUCAAUGGCACACUGAAAGAUCUACUAAUAAGAAGGUGCAUGCGAUAGAAGAAAUUAAUGUUUUGAGUGGAAAGAUGGAUGAACUUAUGAAAUUAUUUGCUAGCAAGAGUGUUCCUUCUGAUCCUAAUGAUAUGCCCUUGUCUACUUUGAUUGAGAAUAAUAAUGAAUCUAUGGAUGUGAAUUUUGUUGGUAGGAAAUUUUUUGGUAACAACGCAUAUAGAGGAAACAUCAAUCCUAGGCCUUAUCCUAGAAAUCCCUCUAAUAAUUAUGGUAAUUCCUACAACAAUUCUUAUGGAAAUUAUAAUAAGUUGCCCUCUUAUUUUGAAUCUAAUAUUAAAGAAUUUAUUACUUCGCAAAAGAAUUUUAAUGCUUUGAUUGAAGAAAAAUUGCUUAAGAUUGAUGAGUUGGCUAGGAACGUUGAUAGAAUUUCUCUUGAUGUUGAUUCCUUGAAACUUAGAUCUAUUACUCCUAAGCAUGAUAUCAAUGAGUCUCUCAAAGCCAUGAGAAUUUCCAUUGAUGAGUGCAAAGAAAGAACCGCUAGGAUGCGUGCUAAGAAAGAUGCCUUUAUAAGAGUGUGUUCUUCUAGUUCCUAUGAAAGUAAAGAUGAAGAUCUAAAAGUUAUUGAUGUGUCCCCUAUUAAAUAUUUGUUUUGCAAUUUGAAUCUUGAUAAUUAUGGGACUGAAUAUGAUCCACCUUUACCUAGAAGGCGUUCCAAGAAUUCGGAAUUUUUUGAUCUUGAUGCUAAAAUUGAUAAAAGUGGUAUGGAGGAAAUUAAAACCCUAGAUGUUGCUAAACCCACUGUUAUGGAUUUCAAGGAAUUUAACUAUGAAAAUUGCUCUUUGAUUGAUUGUAUUUCCUUGUUACAAUCCGUGCUAAAUUCUCCUCACGCUUAUAGUCAAAAUAAAGCGUUUACUAGACAUAUCGUUGAUGCCUUGAUGCAAUCUUAUGAAGAAAAACUUGAAUUGGAUGUUUCUAUCCCUAGAAAAUUUUAUGAUGAGUGGGAACCAACUAUUAAAAUAAAAAUUAAAGAUCAUGAAUGCUAUGCUUUAUGUGAUUUGGGUGCUAGUGUUUCCACGAUUCCAAAGACUUUGUGUGAUUUGUUAGGUUUCCGUGAUUUUGAUGAUUGCUCUCUGAACUUGCACCUUGCGGAUUCCACUAUUAAGAAACCUAUGGGAAGAAUUAAUGAUGUUCUUAUUGUUGCAAAUAGGAAUUAUGUGCCCGUAGAUUUUAUUGUUCUUGACAUAGAUUGCAAUCCUUCAUGUCCUAUUUUUCUUGGUAGACCUUUCCUUAGAACGAUUGGUGCAAUUAUUGAUAUGAAGGAAGGAAAUAUUAGAUUCCAAUUCACACUAAGGAAAGGAAUGGAACAAUUUCCUAGAAAGAAAAUUAAAUUACCUUAUGACUCUAUUAUGAGAGCCACUUAUGGAUUGCCUACCAAAGAUGGCAAUACCUAG
rnacentral:rRNA from 1 species